rnacentral:rRNA from 1 species
GGACUACAAGGGUUUCUAAUCCUGUUUGCUCCCCACGCUUUCGCGUCUCAGCGUCAGCAACGAUCCAGAGGGCCGCCUUCGCCGCCGGUGUUCCUCCUGAUAUCUACGCAUUUCACCGCUACACCAGGAAUUCCACCCUCCUCUAUCGCGCUCUAGCUGGCUAGUUUCGGAUGCACUUCCGGAGCUGAGCUCCGGGCUUUCACACCCGACUUGACCAACCGCCUACACGCCCUUUACGCCCAGUCAAUCCGAACAACGCUUGCACCCUCCGUCUUACCGCGGCUGCUGGCAC